AUGAACGCUGGCGGCGUGCCUAAUACCUGCAAGUCGAGCGAACGGACGAGAAGCUUGCUUCUCUGAUGUUAGCGGCGGACGGGUGAGUAACACGUGGAUAACCUACCUAUAAGACUGGGAUAACUUCGGGAAACCGGAGCUAAUACCGGAUAAUAUUUUGAACCGCAUGGUUCAAAAGUGAAAGACGGUCUUGCUGUCACUUAUAGAUGGAUCCGCGCUGCAUUAGCUAGUUGGUAAGGUAACGGCAUACCAAGGCAACGAUGCAUAGCCGACCUGAGAGGGUGAUCGGCCACACUGGAACUGAGACACGGUCCAGACUCCUACGGGAGGCAGCAGUAGGGAAUCUUCCGCAAUGGGCGAAAGCCUGACGGAGCAACGCCGCGUGAGUGAUGAAGGUCUUCGGAUCGUAAAACUCUGUUAUUAGGGAAGAACAUAUGUGUAAGUAACUGUGCACAUCUUGACGGUACCUAAUCAGAAAGCCACGGCUAACUACGUG
rnacentral:rRNA from 1 species